GAUGAACGCUAGCGGCAGGCCUAAUACAUGCCAGUCGGACGGGAUCCAUUGAUAGCUUGCUAUCAAUGGUGAGAGUGGCGCACGGGUGCGUAACGCGUGAGCAACCUGCCUCCAUCAGGGGGAUAGCCUCUCGAAAGAGAGAUUAACACCGCAUAAUAUCAACAGUUCGCAUGUUCAGUUGAUUAAAUAUUUAUAGGAUGGAGAUGGGCUCGCGUGACAUUAGCUAGUUGGUAGGGUAACGGCUUACCAAGGCGACGAUGUCUAGGGGCUCUGAGAGGAGAAUCCCCCACACUGGUACUGAGACACGGACCAGACUCCUACGGGAGGCAGCAGUAAGGAAUAUUGGUCAAUGGGCGGAAGCCUGAACCAGCCAUGCCGCGUGCAGGAUGACUGCCCUAUGGGUUGUAAACUGCUUUUGUCCAGGGAUAAACCUAAAUACGAGUAUUUAGCUGAAUGUACUGGAAGAAUAAGGAUCGGCUAACUCCGUG
rnacentral:rRNA from 1 species